ensembl:ncRNA sncRNA:158 small non-coding RNA 158
ACUCCGGCUUCUAAAGAGACCCCGUGUCAAGAAGGAUCACUCUACCCAAGGCCAAGAUCUCUCCCACGGCCAAGGGUUAGAUGGGAUAGCAGCCAGUGCGCCAGCCACAGGUCACUGGGCUCGAAAUCAAUCCUUAAACUCCAUCCCGACACUGGGG